CCUGCUGAGGAGCGUUGCGUCCCCGGGGUAGAUACGGGGGUCAGGCUCAGCUAAAUUCAACGGCGCUCGCAUCGG
rnacentral:ncRNA from 2 species